GAUGAAGAACGCAGCGAAAUGCGAUAAGUAAUGUGAAUUGCAGAAUUCAGUGAAUCAUCGAAUCUUUGAACGCACCUUGCGCUCUUUGGUGUUCCGAAGAGCAUGCUUGUUUGAGUGUCAUGAAAAUAUCAACCUUGACUUGGGUUUUGUGCUCUAGUCUCGGCUUGGAAUUGGGUGCUUGCCGCUUUUACGAGCGGCUCACCUUAAAUGUAUUAGCUGGAUCUGUCUUUGAGACUUGGUUUGACUUGGCGUAAUAAGUAUUUCGCUAAGGACAUUCUUCGGAGUGGCCUCGUUUCUAGGACGCUUGUCCGCUUUCCAAUACAAGUUCCACCUCGUGGACAUGACUUUUUAUUAUCUGGCCUCAAAUCAGGUAGGACUACCCGCUGAACUUAAGCAUAUCAAUAAGCGGAGGA
rnacentral:misc_RNA from 1 species